rnacentral:rRNA from 1 species
CAAUAGCGUAUAUUAAAGUUGUUGCAGUUAAAAAGCUCGUAGUCGGAUUUUGGCAUCACGCCGAACUGUCUGCCGAUUGGUAAGUACGGUUUGGCGGGUGCUUCUUUCUUGAAGCUCGUUCCCUUCCUAACUGAAGGGUUCGUUGGUUCAGGUUCUUUUACUUUGAGAAAAUUAGAGUGUUCAAAGCAGGCCUAUGCUCUGAAUAGGUUAGCAUGGAAUAAUAGAAUAGGACUUUGGUUCUAUUUUGUUGGUUUCUAGAGCUGAGGUAAUGAUUAAUAGGGAUAGUUGGGGGCAUUCGUAUUUAACUGUCAGAGGUGAAAUUCUUGGAUUUCUGGAAGACGAACUACUGCGAAAGCAUUUACCAAGGAUGUUUUCAUUAA